UUUUAAAUCUGUCUUCCUUGCUAGACAGUAACCUUUGUUAGGGCAGGGACUAUGUUUUCCUCACUCCUUCAUCCCUAGCAAGGACUAUACUCCUAGAAAGUACUAAGUAUAUAGCAGGUGCUCAAUAAAUACCUGUUAAAUGAAUGAAUGAAUGGAUCAGGAUUGUGCGUGGUUAAGACAGUGGGCUUAGAGAUCUUGCUUUGAAUCCUGGGUUUAACAGUUAUUACUAUGUAAUCCUAGACCCAUCAUUCAGCUUCUCAAUACCUCCAUUUCCUUAGGUGUGACAUGGAAACGCUCCCUUGGGAUUGCUGGAUCAGGUGAGCAAACGCAGGUCAGGUAUCCAUCACAGGGUCUGUGUGCAGUGAGGCCUCAGCCAUUUUUCCUAAGCCAGAGCUUCUUCCAACAUCAUAUGCUGCCUGGAAAUUCUGAUGAAGGAACCGAAGAAUCUUCAAGGCGGAGGUAAUUUGAGCUGGGCCCUGAAGGAGGAGUAAGAUUCCAGCUUAUGUGGCCAGGGCCAGAUUUCUUUCCUGAGUUCAUCCAACUACAAAAUGGAGAUGAUGACACCCAGUUUCUGUCUCCCUCUGGGAGCGCUGGUCUGGCUUAAAGUCUCUCAAGAGGAAAAACAUCAUACAAUUAAAAGGCACCAUCGUUAUUCAACUGGAAAAGUGCCUUCCCGGGACAAGUGAUUCUGCUUGUGCUGUGUAUGAUUGGAUAUUUAGUGUGAAUUUAACCCAGGGUGUCAACUGUGCUGUCAGUUAGAGCUAAGUGUAAUGGGGCACUUAGUAAAUGUGGAGGUAAUUAAAGCCAUCCAGAUGCUGGAUGUGGGUGAGCUUUGUGCUGCCUCUGGGACUGAAAUGCUUUAGAGAGAUGAAGUUCUGGAGUCUCUUUUUGGGGUGCACUGGGAGUGUAAGUCCCGGCGUUGGCCUUUGCUGCUGCUGUACCCUUCUGCUGGAGACUGAAAGCCACCUAUUCUGGGAAGCCUUCCCUGAUCACCAAGACAGAAUCUGAUGUUCUGGGUUUUCCUGGCACCGCACACACUUCUCACAAUAUCCUAUUAUCUUAGUUUGUUUCUAUGCCCAUCUCCCCCAACUGGAGUCCAAGAUAUUGUCCCUAGGAUUUUUCUGACAUACAGUUAGUGCUCAAUAAGUGUCUGCUGAAUGAAGCUUUUCAGGUUUCACAACCAUGGGAAAUCUUGGGUCUCAAGAACAGAUCAAGGUGUUUGAUUUUCCUGGGAAGGGUAGACCCUGUGUAGUUCUGGCAAGUGAUCCCUCUUCUGAUGGAAAUUCUGUUUGAUGCCCUCCCUAGUGAGGCCAGGGUGGCAACGUGAGCCUAUCCUCCUUUGCAGCAGACCUGAGCCCUGUAGAUUUACAGAUAUCUGAGUGUGGAAUCCAGCCCUGAGUCCACACCUUGUAGAAAGCAGGAGGAGAGCAGGCCUUGAACAACUGAAGUUGCUUAUCUGCUAUGAGCCUCCUGGAGGCCCAAAUAAAGAAUCCAGAAUGUGGCGAGUCUCCACUGCUGCCUGGGCCCUGUUGCCUCUAAGAUGAACUUAUCGCUGACCUUUCUGGCACAUGGAGAAUGUCCCCACUGCCCGGAGAAGAGAGGCCUCUCCUUGUGGUCCUGCAUUCUGGACUCAGUGGGAUCCACCGCACUCAGCAUUCUUGGCUUCAUGCUGGAGCUGAGCGUAAGGUGAGAAGGAGUUGCUGGGAACACUGUGAUACCUGGCUCAGGCAGGAACCACCCAAGUCAGGCAUGAUCAGAUCUUGGACUGACAGCCACCUGCUCUGAACAAGGCCCUGGACUCUGGACUUACCACUGUCUCUGACCAACCCUUCCAGCUGGCCUUUCUACCUCCAGAUUCGGAGUCUGGAGUCAGGCUUCUGGCUGGUCAUGGUUAGGUCCAGUGUCCAUGCUCCAGCAGGAAUUGAGGGGAGCGUGUCCCUCCCAUUCGUCUGCCAUUAUCUCCCUGCUUCUUGGGAUUCCCACAAAUGGGGUCUCAGAUGCUGGGCAGCCCAAGUGACAAAU
rnacentral:lncRNA from 10 species